GGCAGUAAAAGUCGUAACAAGGUUUCCGUAGGUGAACCUGCGGAAGGAUCAUUAUUGUAUAACCGAGGUGCGAGGGCUGUCGCUGACCCGAAAGGUCGUGCACGCCCGAGUGCCCUCACACACAUCCAUCUCACCCCUAUGUGCACCACCGCGUGGGUCCCCCUUUGGCGUGUUCGGAGGGGGGCUUACGUUUUCACACAAACUUUGUAUGCAGUGUAGAAUGUAUUUUUUGUUUUUGCGAUCACGCAAUCAAUACAACUUUCAACAACGGAUCUCUUGGCUCUC
rnacentral:misc_RNA from 1 species